rnacentral:rRNA from 1 species
CAGCAGCCGCGGGAAUACGUAGGUGGCAAGCGUUGUCCGGAAUUAUUGGGCGUAAAGCGCGCGCAGGUGGUUUAAUAAGUCUGAUGUGAAAGCCCACGGCUCAACCGUGGAGGGUCAUUGGAAACUGUUAAACUUGAGUGCAGGAGAGAAAAGUGGAAUUCCUAGUGUAGCGGUGAAAUGCGUAGGGAUUAGGAGGAACACCAGUGGCGAAGGCGGCUUUUUGGCCUGUAACUGACACUGAGGCGCGAAAGCGUGGGGAGCAAACAGGAUUAGAUACCCGCGUAGUCCCUGUCUCUUAUAC